UACGUAGGUGGCAAGCGUUGUCCGGAAUUAUUGGGCGUAAAGCGCGCGCAGGCGGUCCUUUAAGUCUGAUGUGAAAGCCCACGGCUCAACCGUGGAGGGUCAUUGGAAACUGGGGGACUUGAGUGCAGGAGAGAAGAGUGGAAUUCCACGUGUAGCGGUGAAAUGCGUAGAGAUGUGGAGGAACACCAGUGGCGAAGGCGACUCACUGGACACGUAUUGACGCUGGAGGUGCGAAAGCGUGGGGAGCAAACAGG
rnacentral:rRNA from 1 species